UGCAGUCGAGCGAUGAAACACCUUCGGGUGUGAAUUAGCGGCGAACCUGUGAGGAACACGUGAAGAAUCUGCCUUCAACUCUGGGAUAACUCCGGGAAACCGGGGCUAAUACCGGAUAUGAGCCUUGAUCGCAUGAUCGGGGCUGGAAAGUUUUUCGGUUGAAGAUGACUUCGCGGCCUAUCAGCUUGUUGGUGAGGUAAUGGCUCACCAAGGCGACGACGGGUAGCCGGUCUGAGAGGGCGACCGGCCACACUGGGACUGAGACACGGCCCAGACUCCUACGGGAGGCAGCAGUGGGGAAUAUUGGGCAAUGGAGGAAACUCUGACCCAGCGACGCCGCGUGAGGGAUGAAGGCCUUCGGGUUGUAAACCUCUUUCAGUAGGGAAGAAGCGAAAGUGACGGUACCUACAGAAGAAGCACCGGCUAACUAUGUGCCAGCAGCCGCGGUAAUACAUAGGGUGCAAGCGUUGUCCGGAAUUAUUGGGCGUAAAGAGCUCGUAGGUGGUUCGAUACGUCGGAUGUGAAAAUCAGGGGCUCAACCCCUGACCUGCAUCCG
rnacentral:rRNA from 1 species